GAUGAACGCUGGCGGCGUGCCUAAUACAUGCAAGUCGAGCGAACGGACGAGAAGCUUGCUUCUCUGAUGUUAGCGGCGGACGGGUGAGUAACACGUGGAUAACCUACCUAUAAGACUGGGAUAACUUCGGGAAACCGGAGCUAAUACCGGAUAAUAUUUUGAACCGCAUGGUUCAAAAGUGAAAGACGGUCUUGCUGUCACUUAUAGAUGGAUCCGCGCUGCAUUAGCUAGUUGGUAAGGUAACGGCUUACCAAGGCAACGAUGCAUAGCCGACCUGAGAGGUGGAUCGCCAACAGGGGAACUGAGACGCGGCCAAGACUCUGACGGGAGGCAGAGGAGGGAAUCUUUCCGAAAGGGGGGAAGACCGGAGGGAGCACCGCCGGGGGAGUAAAGAAGUUCUUGGUAUCUUAAACCUUUUUUAUGGGGAAAAAAAAUUUGUGAAAGAACUUGUCCCCAUCUGGAGGUUCCUUAAUAGGAAGCCCAGGCCAAACUACGCC
rnacentral:rRNA from 1 species